rnacentral:rRNA from 1 species
UACGAAGGGGGCUAGCGUUGCUCGGAAUCACUGGGCGUAAAGCGCACGUAGGCGGAUUGUUAAGUCAGGGGUGAAAUCCUGGAGCUCAACUCCAGAACUGCCUUUGAUACUGGCGAUCUUGAGUCCGGGAGAGGUGAGUGGAACUGCGAGUGUAGAGGUGGAAUUCGUAGAUAUUAGGAAGAACACCAGUGGCGAAGGCGGCCAACUGGUCCGGUACUGACGCUGAGGUGCGAAAGCGUGGGGAGCAAACAGG